CGGGUGAGUAAUGCUUGGGAAUCUAGCUUAUGGAGGGGGAUAACUACGGGAAACUGUAGCUAAUACCGCGUAAUAUCGAAAGAUUAAAGUGUGGGACCUUCGGGCCACAUGCCAUAGGAUGAGCCCAAGUGGGAUUAGGUAGUUGGUGAGGUAAAGGCUCACCAAGCCGACGAUCUCUAGCUGGUCUGAGAGGAUGACCAGCCACACUGGGACUGAGACACGGCCCAG
rnacentral:rRNA from 1 species